GACAGAGGAUGCAAGCGUUAUCCGGAAUGAUUGGGCGUAAAGCGUCUGUAGGUGGCUUUCAAGUCCGCCGUCAAAUCCCAGGGCUCAACCCUGGACAGGCGGUGGAAACUACCAAGCUGGAGUACGGUAGGGGCAGAGGGAAUUUCCGGUGGAGCGGUGAAAUGCAUUGAGAUCGGAAAGAACACCAACGGCGAAAGCAGCUCUGGCUGGGCCGACACUGACACUGAGAGACGAAAGCUAGGGGAGCAAAUGGGAUUAGAAACCCCUG
rnacentral:rRNA from 1 species